GUCCCCUUCGUCUAGUGGCCCAGGACUCCAGGUUUUCAUCCUGGCAACAGGAGUUCGAUUCUCCUAGGGGACACCA
rnacentral:tRNA from 1 species